rnacentral:misc_RNA from 1 species
UGGGCUGUGUCAUGUGUUUACUCUGCAUUGCCCUCCAUGGCAGUCAAGUUGCUUUGUUGUAAUAUUAUAUUUAUCAUCGCGAAUCUCACAUAAUAAAUCAAAACUAUAUUAUUUAUAUGAAAGUGAUUUGUGCUCCUAAUCUAUCAGGAUUAUACAAUUUACUCAAACUUUGGAUUGUAUACAAGAUGCCAUCUGAAUCGUGCGGAGCCCUAGCACUGCUUUGUGUUGAUUCCAUCAAUUCAAGCUGUGAACGACCCAGUACAGUUUGAUGAGCUCUUGUGACCGACUAGACAGCAAGAAACCCAGUCUGAAAAGGAAGCUUUGACACGACUGACAAACGAAAAAUCUUCAAACAAUUCACUGGAUAAGAACCAUAGUAGUGGAUUAGAAAACACUUCUUUCCAUUCCAAUGAAACUCUUCCAUGUUGAUCACUAACAUUUUUG